GUAAUGCCGGAUGCUCCAGUUGAUCGCAUGGUCUUCUGGGAAAGCUUUCGCGGUAUGGGAUGGGGUCGCGUCCUAUCAGCUUGACGGCGGGGUAACGGCCCACCGUGGCUUCGACGGGUAGCCGGCCUGAGAGGGCGACCGGCCACAUUGGGACUGAGAUACGGCCCAGACUCCUACGGGAGGCAGCAGUGGGGAAUAUUGCACAAUGGGCGCAAGCCUGAUGCAGCGACGCCGCGUGAGGGAUGGAGGCCUUCGGGUUGUAAACCUCUUUUAUCGGGGAGCAAGCGUGAGUGAGUUUACCCGUUGAAUAAGCACCGGCUAACUACGUGCCAGCAGCCGCGGUAAUACGUAGGGUGCAAGCGUUAUCCGGAAUUAUUGGGCGUAAAGGGCUCGUAGGCGGUUCGUCGCGUCCGGUGUGAAAGUCCAUCGCUUAACGGUGGAUCCGCGCCGGGUACGGGCGGGCUUGAGUGCGGUAGGGGAGACUGGAAUUCCCGGUGUAACGGUGGAAUGUGUAGAUAUCGGAAAAGAAC
rnacentral:rRNA from 1 species